rnacentral:lncRNA from 1 species
CUUUAUUGUAUGUUUGGUGCUAUUAAUAUAUUAAUGUCAAUUUUUAUCGAGGGUAAUAUAGACGUGCUAUCAUUUAUUAAUACACGACAUAUUUAAUUCGUAUAAUUAUAACAAUACAAUGAGCAAAUAUUUUACAUUUUCAACUUGAGAAAAAUAGAAGGGUGAAGGAAAAAUUGAGACAGGCCUUUGAGAGAUCAAACUUUAUGGCAUCAAGCCAAACGAAUAGACUUAGUGACAGGAACUUGUUCCAGAGGCUGAAAUGUUAGCCCCUUUUUUUUAUUUUUUUAUUUUAUCAACUUACAAUGAAAAUUUGUCAAAUGUCCAUCUAUGUAAAAAUCUAUCACUGAACCUGUUUCUCUAGCAAGACUGGAUUUUAUGGGCCAAAAAAGUCACGAGUCCACUUAUUUGUCACAAAAGCAACCAAACCAUGACAACCACCGCAAUCCACCACUGCAAAAACCAAUGCAAAACAAUAUAACACCGUCGUCGGUUUGCAUCAGUAAUAAUCACUAUCACCACCAACCCCAACCCCAACCCCAACGCCACCACCAUCAACACCACAAUCAGAAGCACUAUCUUUUGUACCAAAAAUCACAACCACUAUCUCAAAUUACACCACAAUCACCACAUUUAACAAAAAAUGCCCAAAUCACCACUCCAACAACGACGUCGCCGCGUCACCUUUCCGCACAGUGGCAUUAGGCGUCAGCUAAACCAGUAGAUCUAUUGCAACCAGUUGAGCCACCGACGAUGACGGGCGCUUGCGGUGACGACUGGAGCUGCUCCAUUGUCGGGCUGUCGAAUCUGAAUUGAUGAAAGGAGAGAGGAGGAGAGAGGGGCAAGCAGCAUACCAGUUGAGCCACUGGCCGCUUGUCCGGCGACGACGGGUGCUUGAAGUGAGCAGCUCCAUCGUCGGAUGUCGAAUCUGAAAUGAUGAAACGAGAGAGGAAGAGAGAGGGGCGAGCCAAUGUAGAGAGAGAGAGAGACGAAAAUGAAAAUAAAUUAGGGUUGUAUAGAAUUUAUAUUAUAAUAUUUAAUAAUUAAAAUAUCUGAUUCUUGAACAAUGAAACCUUCCACAUGAUUUUAAAAUUUUG